rnacentral:rRNA from 1 species
CCUACGGGUGGCAGCAGUGGGGGAUAUUGCACAAUGGGGGACACCCUGAUGCAGCAACGCCGCGUGUGGGAAGAAGGUGUUCGGGUUGUAAACCACUGUUCUUGGUGAAGAUAAUGCCGGUAACCAAGUAGAAAGCUCCGGCUAACUACGUGCCAGAAGCCGCAGUAAUACGUAGGGAGCAGGGGUUGUGCGGAUUUACUGGGUGUAAAGGGUGAGUAGGCGGUCUUGCAAGUCAGUCGUGAAAACCACAGGGUUAACCUGUGGACUGCGUUUGAAACUGUGGGGCUUGAGUGAAGUAGAGGUAUGAGGAAUUCCCGGUGUAGCGGUGAAAUGCGUAGAGAUCAGGAGGAACACCAGUGGAGAAGGCGGCCUACUGGGCUUUAACUGACGCUGAGGCACGAAAGCAUGGGUAGCAAACAGGAUUAGAUACCCUUGUAGUC